CAUUAAGAAGCUAUGCAACAGCACCAGCCUUAUAAGUCAGCUAGAGAGGUCCGCCUCCUCCUUAAUGA
rnacentral:tRNA from 1 species